GUUCAUCUUUUCUCUUUAUCUCUCUUCCUAUAAUAUAUCCCAAAUUGUUCAGAUCUCACUUUAAUCUCUAUAAUAUGAAAAAUCAUCCUCAUACUCAUUUAUAAUCUCUACAUUUUAUCAUUCUCUUUCAUAAUCCUUUAGAUCUCACAUCAACUUCAUGCACAUUCACACCCAAUUUUAAACUAAAUCGAAACAAAUCUAAACAGCUGGGUUUUAGAUCUGUACCAAAUUGGAACAAUGGAUAAUCGAAACUACUUUGACAAUGUAGACGGUGGUGGUUACCGGACUCCAGUCUGUAUGAGUCAAGAUCCAACGGUGUUUUAAUAGACCCGGUGGUGUUUCCAAGAUCCCGAUGUGGCUAGGGCUUUAAGGAGACGAAGUUGUGUGGGUUUUUCAGAUUUGAAGUCUUUGAUUGUGUGAUUUUUGGUUCAAGAAGGUGUGAGUUAGUCUUCAAAAUUUUAUAUAGAACCACCAAUAUCACAGGAUCCAGAUCAUGGAAACUGAUAAUCUAGAUCCAUGGUGUCUUUCUCUCUCUUCACAAGAUCCAGAUUCUAUGUCUUGAAGGAGACGGAGUUGUGUGUGAAUUAGUCUCCAAAAUCUUAUAUAUAACCACCAAAAUCCAAGGAUCCAGAUCAUAGAAAUUGAUAGUCCAGAUCCAUGGUGUCUUUCUCUCUCUUCACAAGAUCCAGAUUCAGUGUCUUGAAGGAAACCGCACGUGAAUAUGAAAAUGACGAUGAAUUAGAUACGGAGAUGAUGAAUUAGAUACGGAUCCUGGUAUAGUUUUUUCUACUUUUUUUUUGUUAAAUCAGUUUUUAUAAGCCAUAAAAUGUGUGUUAUGGUUACAUAAAAAUAAAGUGGAUUUUGUUUACAUGAAACAAAUUAUUGUUAGGUCAUUGUAGUUACAUGAAAAUAGAGUGGGGUUGUGUUUGUUAAUGUUACACAUUUUACAGGAAAUAAAGUGGUUUUGUUGUUGU
rnacentral:lncRNA from 1 species